UGCUUGGGGAUCUGCCUUAGAGUGGAGGAUAACCAUUGGAAACGAUGGCUAAUACUGCAUAGUAUCUGCGGAUUAAAGGGGGCUUAGGCUCUUGCUUUAAGAUGAACCCAAGUGGGAUUAGCUAGUUGGUGAGGUAAUGGCUCACCAAGGCGACGAUCCCUAGCUGGUCUGAGAGGAUGAUCAGCCACACUGGAACUGAGACACGGUCCAGACUCCUACGGGAGGCAGCAGUGGGGAAUAUUGCACAAUGGGCGAAAGCCUGAUGCAGCCAUGCCGCGUGUGUGAAGAAGGCCCUAGGGU
rnacentral:rRNA from 1 species